GUAGAACUGAGGGAGUAAGAGGGGGAGAGAAUUUAGAAAGAAUUCCGAAACUAGUAAGAAAGACGCAAAAAAGUGCAUGAAAACUCCAAGAAAGAAAGCACCUAGAAUAAAAAUAAAAGCAGAAAAGUAACAAAAAAAAAAAGAUUAAAAACAAGAAACAACAAAGACACAGACAUGGAAUUGUUUUCUAAGAUGUUCAUAAAAUGCAAGGAUAUUAUUGCUCAAUUUCCAGAGGAGCAACGACCGCAACUGACAGGGAAAGGAACACCACCACCACGCAGAGGGAAAGGAACACCCCCGCUGCCACCUCGGGUGCGACCUCCGCGACCGCCGGUUAAGCUGUUGUGAUUGGUCAAACGUUUCUGUCACUUCUUUGGAUUGUUAUUUAAAGGCUUAAUACCUACUUCAAUCUCAGUUUCAAGUGUUGACUUUGCACGGAAUUUGCAGAAAGUUAAUUGUUGUCAGAGUAGAACUUCAUAUCGUUGCAAAUGGAAAUAUAUAAGCAAAAGUCUUCAGAGAAUGGUGUGCAUGAUAAUGAUUUAAACUCCUGGUCGGAGUUUUCAGAGAAUGGUGUGCAUGAUAAUGAUUUAAACUCCUGGUCGGAG